rnacentral:tRNA from 2 species
GGGGCGGUGGCGGAAUCGGCAGACGCAACGGACUUAAAAUCCGUCGAUGGAGACAUCGUGAGGGUUCGACCCCCUCCCGCCCCA